AUUGAACGCUGGCGGCAGGCCUAACACAUGCAAGUCGAGCGAGCGGCGGACGGGGGAGGAAUGUAUGGGGACUGCCCGAUAGCGGGGGAUAACUACUGGAAACGGUAGCUAAUACCGCAUACUAUCGGAUAACCCAUAGGGGAUUAGCUAGUAGGUGAGGUAAUGGCCCACCUAGGCGACGAUCCCUAGCUGGUCUGAGAGGAUGAUCAGCCACACUGGGACUGAUACCCGGCCCAGACUCCUACGGGGGCAGCAGUGGGGAAUAUUGCACAAUGGGCGAAAGCCUGAUGCAGCCAUGCCGCGUGUGUGAAGAAGGCCCUAGGGUCGUAAAGCACUUUCAGUCGGGAGGCGUUACCGACAGAAGAAGCCCCGGCGAACUCCGUGCCAGCAGCCGCGGUAAUUC
rnacentral:rRNA from 1 species